rnacentral:lncRNA from 1 species
CUCCAGGAAGGGCAGCCAAGAACUCAGCUGCCCCGGUUCUCACUUCUGAGUUGGAAAUCCCCGAGCACAAGGCUCGGUUGCCGCCCCGUCCCAUCAACAUCUGGCUCCGGGAUGAGCGGCCCGGGAGCGGGAAUCAGCACUACGACCUUGGGGUCACCCGGCAGUCCUGGGUCCUUGACCCAGCCCAGGUGCUGAUGGGCGGGCCGCAGCCUGGACGGGCGACUCUCUGGGUCACGCUUGCCCCCCCCCUCCCCGGUCACAUGGACGCGCCUUCCGUCGCCAGGAGUGCGGAGCGGAACGAACCACGAGGAGGAGGAGUGGGGGAGGCGCUGAGGGCAGUGGGUCAGCGCCCCGCGGGGCAGGAGGGCGGGCCCAACUGCCUGCGAGCCAGCC